CUGAUUGGUAUUGCAUGCCUGGUGAC
rnacentral:rRNA from 1 species